GAAAGUUAAGAAACUGUUUCUUAACUUUUAACUAAAAAAACUAAGAACCGGUUCUUAAAUAAAGACUUUAAGAAACGGUUCUUAGCUUUUUUAGUUAAAAAUUAAGAAACAGUUUUUUAACUUCC
rfam:Brassica oleracea var. oleracea cultivar TO1000 chromosome C8, whole genome shotgun sequence